CAAGUGGCCAAAACUUUCAUUCAUUCAGCUCGGGCAUACAUUUUAUUGCCCAGCUUGGCCAGAAUUGAUUGAGGUCCACGCACAGCGAAGACAAUCGAAAUUGCUGGUUGAUAACGGUCGGCCCUCUGCUGGGAUCCAGCCUCCAUUCAACUUUAAAUCAAUGCCCCUCUAGCGGCCUAGUUCACGCUCUCACACCCAGCAGGCUUUCAUUCAUCACUCCAUACACAGCUUCAGACAGACUUCUCAUUUGAUUUGGCAUCUCAAGUUGAAAUUAACAAAUAAAAAUAUUUCCAUUUCUCCAAAUUGAUUUGGCCAUGCAUAAUCACUUCAUAUCCUUUGUGGUCGGCGGCGUCGUCGGCUUUCUAAUUGCAAAGCACGGCCGGUUUUGAAAUGGCGCCCAGUAUGAAUGAACCCAGGAGCAAAAUCCCGAAUCCCGUUUAAAAAGUUUCUCAAGUAAUUCCAGACUUUUACUCUUCCCUUUUGUAACCCAAACUUGCAGUUCACAGUUUACCAGGCAUCGACUCAAUAUGCUUGUCGCAUUUCUCUUUGGCUUUAUCGCGGGCAUGAUUUUUUGUUGCAAGCAACGGAAAUGCCGCCCAUAAGUUUACUAAUUUAUUAACAAUAAAAAAAAAAAUUAUAAAAAAUCAA